CCUAUGGGUGGCAGCAGUGGGGAAUAUUGGGCAAUGGGCGCAAGCCUGACCCAGCAACGCCGCGUGAAGGAAGAAGGCUUUCGGGUUGUAAACUUCUUUUGUCAGGGACGAAGCAAGUGACGGUACCUGGAGAAAAAGCAUCGGCUAACUCCGUGCCAGCAGCCGCGGUAAUACGGAGGAUGCGAGCGUUAUCCGGAUUUAUUGGGUUUAAAGGGUGCGCAGGCGGCGUGUCAAGUCAGCGGUAAAAUGUCGGGGCUCAACCCCGGCCGGCCGUUGAAACUGGCGUGCUCGAGUUGGAGAGAAGUAUGCGGAAUUCGUGGUGUAGCGGUGAAAUGCAUAGAUAUCACGAAGAACCCCGAUUGCGAAGGCAGCAUACCGGCUCCACACUGACGCUGAGGCACGAAAGCGUGGGUAUCGAACAGGAUUAGAUACCCUGGUAGUC
rnacentral:rRNA from 1 species